GUCUUUGUAGUAUAUAAAAUACCUUGGUCUUGUAAACCAAAAAAGGAGAACACACGCCCUCCCUAAGACU
rnacentral:tRNA from 1 species